rnacentral:rRNA from 1 species
CGCGUGAGUACCGACGGCCUUCGGGUUGUAAACCUCUUUUAGCAGGGAAGAAGCGAAAGUGACGGUACCUGCAGAAAAAGCGCCGGCUAACUACGUGCCAGCAGCCGCGGUAAUACGUAGGGCGCAAGCGUUAUCCGGAAUUAUUGGGCGUAAAGAGCUCGUAGGCGGUUUGUCGCGUCUGCUGUGAAAUCCGGAGGCUCAACCUCCGGCCUGCAGUGGGUACGGGCAGACUAGAGUGCGGUAGGGGAGAUUGGAAUUCCUGGUGUAGCGGUGGAAUGCGCAGAUAUCAGGAGGAACACCGAUGGCGAAGGCAGAUCUCUGGGCCGUAACUGACGCUGAGGAGCGAAAGGGUGGGGAGCAAACAGGCUUAGAUACCCUGGUAGUCCACCCCGUAAACGUUGGGAACUAGUUGUGGGGUCCAUUCCACGGAUUCCGUGACGCAGCUAACGCAUUAAGUUCCCCGCCUGGGGAGUACGGCCGCAAGGCUAAAACUCAAAGGAAUUGACGGGGACCCGCACAAGCGGCGGAGCAUGCGGAUUAAUUCGAUGCAACGCGAAGAACCUUACCAAGGCUUGACAUAUACGAGAACGGGCCAGAAAUGGUCAACUCUUUGGACACUCGUAAACAGGUGGUGCAUGGUUGUCGUCAGCUCGUGUCGUGAGAUGUUGGGUUAAGUCCCGCAACGAGCGCAACCC